UGGGGAAUUUUGGACAAUGGGCGAAAGCCUGAUCCAGCAAUGCCGCGUGUGUGAAGAAGGCCUUCGGGUUGUAAAGCACUUUUGUCCGGAAAGAAAUCCUUGGCUCUAAUACAGUCGGGGGAUGACGGUACCGGAAGAAUAAGCACCGGCUAACUACGUGCCAGCAGCCGCGGUAAUACGUAGGGUGCAAGCGUUAAUCGGAAUUACUGGGCGUAAAGCGUGCGCAGGCGGUUUGCUAAGACCGAUGCGAAAUCCCCGGGCUCAACCUGGGAACUGCAUUGGUGACUGGCAGGCUAGAGUAUGGCAGAGGGGGGUAGAAUUCCACGUGUAGCAGUGAAAGUGCGUAGAGAUGUGGAGGAAUACCGAUGGCGAAGGCAGCCCCUGGGCCAAUACUGACGCUCAUGCACGAAAGCGUGGGGAGCAAACAGGAUUAGAUACCCUGGUAGUCCACGCCCUAAACGAUGUCAACUAGUUGUUGGGGAUUCAUUUCCUUAGUAACGUAGCUAACGCGUGAAGUUGACCGCCUGGGGAGU
rnacentral:rRNA from 1 species